CCAGUGAUUAAGCGCCUGAUUGGAAGGCAGGGUCAACCCAGGGGACCUCAGGUGCAUGCAGUGCAUCUGAGUGACAGGAAGACCUGAUGGAUUCUGGCUCCACCCCUUCCCAGACCUCAUUUAAGGGUUGGCAGUGGAGGUAAGGGUGUCUUGCUGGACUCUGCUGCAUACUUGAGGUUUUUAGAAGGAUUAAAGAGUGCUUGUGACAAGAGAAAACAGAUCUCCCUUUUUGAUUCUGUGGGUGAAAUGGCCAGAGCAAGGAGAAGAGGCAGCUGUGUAGGAUGCAGAGUACUGCCUCAACAUCAUCAGGAAAAAAAAAGUUGGUGAGAGCCAGACCACCAGAGAAGAGGAUCUAUACAACAUGGGCAUGCUAGUCCCUGGCAUGUAGUGUGUGUGUUGGCACAGUAUUUCACCAAAACAAGAAGGGAAGAAAUAGUUUUUAGUGUGAUUAUAUUUACAUUGAGAAAAAUCUAUUUUUUUGUUAUCUGUUUCCUGAAUCUGAUAUAUCUGUGAAAACCACAGUUCCAAAAGCAGUAUAUCUGUGUAAGAAAUAGACCUAAUGCUCAAUUCCUUUCACACAGAGAGCUUGUUUCUAGUACAACUAUGUGCUAUCACCUGUGAAACACACCAGGCUCUGCAAAGGAGAACCAGGUCCAAAUGACUGCAAGUCAUUUGUCCAUCUAGGGGGGAAAAAAAAAAGAAAGGCCUAAAUAGUUUCAGUGCUACCCUAUCAGAAAGUGCCCAGGUGCAACAGGAAUCUCCCUCAAAGCACCUGCCCUGGGAUGAAGAGCCAUCACAUGCUUCCUCUCGAUCUUCCCCUAUGUGUGACUGCAACCCAUGUGGUAGCUCUAGCAAAUAUGGAGAGGAAACAGCAACUGACAAG
rnacentral:lncRNA from 1 species